rnacentral:tRNA from 2 species
GGGCUAUAGCUCAGCUGGGAGAGCGCUUGCAUGGCAUGCAAGAGGUCGACGGUUCGAUCCCGUCUAGCUCCACCA